CAGAAGCUGGCUAUCCUGGCACCCUGAACUUGGACUUCCAGCCUCCAGAACAGUGAGAAAUAAAUUUCUGAUGUUUAUAAGCCCCCCAGCCUGUGGUAUUUUGUUACAGCUGGAACAGACUCAGACAAAGACCUAUGAAGUUUCUUGAACAGAUGUGGCUUGACAUCACCCUUUCAUCUGGACUCUAUUAGUCAAAACUGUUUUGGGUGCAAGUGAUAGAAAUCUAAGUAAUUUGUUGUUCAUAUAACUUAGAAGUCCAAGAGUUGAGCUGCUUGGCGUCGUAGCUGGAUUUGGGUGCUUAAACAGUGUGAACAAGGCUCUGUCAUUCUCUUUCCAACUCUCAGUUCCGCCUUCCUUCAGGGAGGUUUUCCUACCCUUCAUGGGAUGGGAAAGAUGGCCCCUGGCAGCCCCAGCUUUACCUGACCCUCCCCAUCCUUUCUCUCAGAGGAUGAGCACUCCUCUCUCUCUCAUAGUGGAUGCAGGAAAAUGGAGUUCUAUGAUUGGUCAGGUGCUGGUCAUGUGACCAAGAGGACGCGGCACUGUGAUUGGCAGUCCCCUCAGAACCACGUGAAAUAGGGGCAGCGCCUUUCUCCGACGCCGGAAGGGGCCAGCCAGAGCAAGAAAGCGGACAUCCUCUACAGACAUUAGACUUGAAACUGUUUCAAGUCGAGUCGCCCUGAUAGGCUCUGUGUCUCCACUUUUUCCUUGCCACCCCUGCUGGACUGAUCCAGGAAGAAGGAAAAUAAACCCAGCCCCUCCACCCUCCUUUCCACAACAAGUACAAGCCACCUCUUAGAACAAAGGAGAGUGGCACCUCAUCGACCUUCACAACCAGACAGGAGCUCCCAUUGGUUAUCAAGGGCUUCCGGCAGCUGCAGGAAGCUGGGGAGGGAAAGAAGGGUCACAAGACGACCAGGACGUCACGGCCUCGGCCAGUGUCCCUCUUCUUGUCUGAUGGUAGAGAAGGUGGAGAAAUACCACAUGGGCAAGAAUAAGGUCCCCAGUGUAGGAAUGUCUCUGACUUGGGGUGAGAGGAGAUUUCAAACUCUUAAUCCCAAAGGGUGAGGGUUGUGUCCCAGGCCAGGUGACAGACCUAUUAUCUACAAAUAUACCUCUCAUGAUGGAGUGGAAAAAGUCUGGAUUCUAGGCUGAUUCUGCCACUAUUGGGAAACCUUAAGCAAGUCUCUGGGCCUCCUUUGUCUCACUUGUAAAAACAAGGGCCUUGGUUUGGAGUAGAGAUGACCAAUAGGCCUUGUUCAUAGCCUUAGAAUUCUUCCCAAUGCACUGCUCCAGGCAGCCAUUAUUAAUCAAUUACAGCUGCUUGUGAAUCGAC
rnacentral:lncRNA from 1 species